rnacentral:rRNA from 1 species
GAUGAACGCUGGCGGCGUGCCUAAUACAUGCCAGUCGAGCGAACAGACGAGGAGCUUGCUCCUCUGACGUUAGCGGCGGACGGGUGAGUAACACGUGGAUAACCUACCUAUAAUACUGGGAUAACUUCGGGAAACCGCAGCUAAUACCGGAUAAUAUAUUGAACCGCAUGGUUCAAUAGUGAAAGACGGUUUUGCUGUCACUUAUAGAUGGAUCCGCGUCGCAUUAGCUAGUUGGUAAGGUAACGGCUUACCAAGGCAACGAUGCGUAGCCGACCUGAGAGGGUGAUCGGCCACACUGGAACUGAGACACGGUCCAGACUCCUACGGGAGGCAGCAGUAGGGAAUCUUCCGCAAUGGGCGAAAGCCUGACGGAGCAACGCCGCGUGAGUGAUGAAGGUCUUCGGAUCGUAAAACUCUGUUAUUAGGGAAGAACAAAUGUGUAAGUAACUAUGCACGUCUUGACGGUACCUAAUCAGAAAGCCACGGCUAACUACGUG